AACUAUGUUUACCUGUCGUACUCACAAGCCUCUUCAUGUUCGCAAGCUCUGCGUAAAAAAGAAAAAAAGAAACGCAACAGAACCUUUGCUCCAUCGAAUAAAAGGAAAAAGAAAAUGAAUUAGGGCAGUCCUUGUUUGGUUCCAUAAUCACAGGUUUACUUCAUAUAUUUGAUAUGCAUGCAUUGGUAUUUCAUCAUAACAAAGAUCGAUCCUUAUUUGGGUUGUUGCAAUUACAUUCAUAUCUUUCUUCUUGAUUGAAGUGUACACAUCUCUCUUCAAAGCCAGGUGAGUUUUUCUGCCCAAUCACAAGGGCUUCAUGUUUGUUCUCUAUAUCUACGCUCUCUCUCUCUGUUUAUAGUGUGGCUUGCAUCAAGAGUAAUAUAUGUUCAAUCGAUCCAAAGGAGUUUUGAUGCCCAUAAAAAUCUUUCUGAUUAUUCUCAAUCUGUUUUUCUUUUCUUGUUGAUGGGAUAGUUUUCAUUUAAGUUCAGAUUAAGUUUGAAAUAAUCACGAAAUAAUUAGCUUCUCUUGGAUCAUUUAGCAUAAUUAAGUGCAGAAAUCGUUCAGCCAUGCGUAUUGGGUUCCACAUUUAUAAAAGCUGCUGUCGAUAAGUACCGCCAGUUCUGGUUAAUCAUGUUUUCUUGUAUAUUAUGAUUAUAGCUUUUCAUCGUAACAAUAUGCAGUUAAUUCUGAUUUUACACUGUAUAACCAAAGUUGUAUAAUGAUCAAUAGAAUGAAAUGCAGUAAAUCUUGUCUUCAUUUCAAUUCUACAUAUAUAUAUAUAUAGUAUCAUCAAAGCUUCGUAAACAUCAUCCCUCGCUCUUCAAACUCUCUCUGUUAAAUUAAGUACUCCUAAAAACGGAUACUUAUCAACAAUAGCUUAUAAUGUGGAACCGGAAUUCGUGGCUUGAUUAACAGAAAUAAUUUGACAUCUCCAAUUUGGUUUUCUGAGACAAAAACGUUUUUGCUAUAAUUCUUGGUUUAUAUUUAGUUUGAUAUUGUUUAUUAGAUGGAAUUAGUUUUGAAUAAUUACACGUGAUAUCGACAUUAGAUACUCGAUAAUUAAUUGUAUUAACUAUAAAAUUCAAGUAUAAAAUAUUUGAGUUAUGUGUCGCUUAUAUAUUAUUUUAAAUCUUUAUUAAAUUUUUUUAUACCGAGUUAUUUUUUUUUCUCUCAUUUUUCUAUUUUUUCGUAAUAGAUUUUUGCCAUGUGAUACUAAUAACAUUUGUGUAUGUUUAUGCUUUGCAGCUGGAACUACCAAGAGAAUGAUCCAUAUAUAAUAUAGAAUAAUAUUUAUAUUUACUUGGUAUAUAUACUACAACAAAUAAAAAGAAUAUUUUACAUUCUAAUACUUUGAUGUAUAUUUUUUUAUUUAAAACUAAUAAAUAUGUGUUACUAAUUUNNNN
rnacentral:lncRNA from 1 species